GUGGAUUAGAUACCCCAGUAGUCCACGCCGUAAACGGUGGGUACUAGGUGUGGGUUUCCUUCCACGGGAUCCGUGCCGUAGCUAACGCAUUAAGUACCCCGCCUGGGGAGUACGGCCGCAAGGCUAAAACUCAAAGGAAUUGACGGGGGCCCGCACAAGCGGCGGAGCAUGUGGAUUAAUUCGAUGCAACGCGAAGAACCUUACCUGGGUUUGACAUACACCAGAAAGCCGUAGAGAUACGGCCCCCCUUGUGGUUGGUGUACAGGUGGUGCAUGGCCGUCGUCAACU
rnacentral:rRNA from 1 species